UACGAAGGGGGCGAGCGUUGUUCGGAAUUACUGGGCGUAAAGGGCUGCGUAGGUGGCGCGACAAGUCAGUGGUGAAAGCUCGAUGCUUAACAUCGAGUCGGCCACUGAUACUGUUGGGCUUGAGCACUGUAGAGGCUAAUGGAAUUCCGGGUGUAGCGGUGGAAUGCGUAGAGAUCCGGAAGAACACCGGUGGCGAAGGCGGUUAGCUGGGCAGUUGCUGACACUGAGGCGCGACAGCGUGGGGAGCAAACAGG
rnacentral:rRNA from 1 species